rnacentral:rRNA from 1 species
UACAGAGGGGGCAAGCGUUGUUCGGAAUUACUGGGCGUAAAGGGCGCGUAGGCGGCGCGGUAAGUCGGGUGUGAAAUCUCGGAGCUUAACUCCGAAACUGCAUUCGAUACUGCCGUGCUUGAGGACUGGAGAGGAGACUGGAAUUUACGGUGUAGCGGUGAAAUGCGUAGAUAUCGUAAGGAAGACCAGUGGCGAAGGCGGGUCUCUGGACAGUUCCUGACGCUGAGGCACGAAGGCCAGGGGAGCAAACGGG